rnacentral:lncRNA from 1 species
GAAUAGUGAGCCCAAAAAUGGAGUUUCCUCCUUCUUCCUCCUCCACGGUCUCACACGACACCGUUUUCUACACCAUAUACCCUAACUCCUCCAUCACAACCAACACCCUCCAAUCUCUCCACCUCCAAAUCCUACAAACCAUUUCUCCCUUCAUCACCGACUACAUAUGGCAACAUCAACCUUUCACACUCUCUCUCUCCAUUCCUCCAAACCCUACCUGUCUCUGCCCUUCCUCCUCCAACAUCCCCCACCUCCACGGCCACUUUCGUUACGGCGACAACCUCGACGACGAAUGGUUUGCCGUCUUCCUCCUCUUCCACAUCUCCAUCCAUUUUCCCUCCCUUUCCAUCCGCCUCUGGGACUCCGACGGCGAGUUUCUUCUCAUCGAAGCCGCCUUCCAUCUUCCUCGCUGGCUCAAUCCCGAUUCCUCUGACAACCGUCUCUUCCUCCGUAACGGAAAAAUUCAUAUCAUUCCCUGUAAACGUCUUCCUUCCCCUUCCCUCAUUGAUUCACUCAACUUCCUCACAAAUUCUGAGUCCGAAUCGCAAGCCUCUGAUCCGGUUCAGACCGUGAUUAUGAACCGGAUCAAAGAUUAUCCAGACCGGGCUAGAAAAAACAUGCACAGUGUUAGGGUUAGGGUUCCAGUGUCAGUUGCAAAGGUUCUUAAGCACGAGCCGUGCUUGAUUUCGCUGGCUGUGGAAGGUUUCUACGACAGGGAUAUUGAUGGUAUGAAAUUCGCGGCUAAGAUGGAGAGAUUCUUGGAGAAAGGGAGGGAGGAGGAGUUGGUGUGCGUUUCAUUGAAGAUGUCGAGGGCUAUGUAUGCGCAGCUUGUUCAGCAAACGUUUAGGGCUCCGAAGGUUUAUCCCGAGCUUCCGUGUCGAGACCGGAAGGAGGAGUAUGCGGAGGCGGAGCUUGGGUUGAAGAUUUCUUGUGGGAUGGAAAUGAUGUAUCAGCAGCGGAAGUGUGAUGGGGUUGAAGGGAAGGGUUCUACUUGGGAAGCGUUUUUGCAGAGCUUGGAGAAAAGUGGUUACUUUCAAGGACUGCUUCCAGGUUCCAGUGAGUAUCAGAGGUUGAUGCAGAAUGCUCAAGAGUAUUAUAGAAACACUUCUCUGCACUCCAAGGCCGGUGUUGAUAGUAAACCAUCUUCUGAAAAGACCAUCACACACACACACACACACAUAUAUAUAUAUAUAUAUAUUCAUUGUGCCAGCUUCUAGCUUUGGAUAAUUUUGCUAUUGAUAGAGAAUUACAUGAAGGGUAAUUUAGAGAUAUUAUAAUUAAAUGUGUGAAGUUGUUAAAUUCUGCUUAUAUCUAUGUUAAAAAAUAUGAGUUUCAUUAUAAUAGUUUUUUUAAAGGAAAAUGUAUAAAUUAUUACUUAUAAUUAUCGAUUCUUAUGUUCCUAAUAGAAAAUGCUUUACACAAUUGCAGCAGCAGCGAAAGCAUCUAAGAGGUUUACAAGAGGUUUAGUAGAGAAGUGAGAAUAGUGAGCCCAAAAAUGGAGUUUCCUCCUUCUUCCUCCUCCACGGUCUCACACGACACCGUUUUCUACACCAUAUACCCUAACUCCUCCAUCACAACCAACACCCUCCAAUCUCUCCACCUCCAAAUCCUACAAACCAUUUCUCCCUUCAUCACCGACUACAUAUGGCAACAUCAACCUUUCACACUCUCUCUCUCCAUUCCUCCAAACCCUACCUGUCUCUGCCCUUCCUCCUCCAACAUCCCCCACCUCCACGGCCACUUUCGUUACGGCGACAACCUCGACGACGAAUGGUUUGCCGUCUUCCUCCUCUUCCACAUCUCCAUCCAUUUUCCCUCCCUUUCCAUCCGCCUCUGGGACUCCGACGGCGAG